rnacentral:rRNA from 1 species
UACAGAGGGGGCAAGCGUUGUUCGGAAUUACUGGGCGUAAAGGGCGCGUAGGCGGCCUGCUAAGUCGAACGUGAAAUCCCUGGGCUCAACCCAGGAACUGCGUCCGAUACUGGUUGGCUUGAAUCCGGGAGAGGGAUGUGGAAUUCCAGGUGUAGCGGUGAAAUGCGUAGAUAUCUGGAGGAACACCGGUGGCGAAGGCGGCAUCCUGGGCCGACACUGACACUGAGGAGCGAAAGCCAGGGGAGCAAACGGG